rnacentral:rRNA from 1 species
CGAUGUCUACUUGGAGGUUGUGGCCUUGAGCCGUGGCUUUCGGAGCUAACGCGUUAAGUAGACCGCCUGGGGAGUACGGUCGCAAGAUUAAAACUCAAAUGAAUUGACGGGGGCCCGCACAAGCGGUGGAGCAUGUGGUUUAAUUCGAUGCAACGCGAAGAACCUUACCUACUCUUGACAUCCAGAGAACUUUCCAGAGAUGGAUUGGUGCCUUCGGGAACUCUGAGACAGGUGCUGCAUGGCUGUCGUCAGCUCGUGUUGUGAAAUGUUGGGUUAAGUCCCGCAACGAGCGCAACCCUUAUCCUUGUUUGCCAGCGAGUAAUGUCGGGAACUCCAGGGAGACUGCCGGUGAUAAACCGGAGGAAGGUGGGGACGACGUCAAGUCAUCAUGGCCCUUACGAGUAGGGCUACACACGUGCUACAAUGGCGCAUACAGAGGGCGGCCAACUUGCGAGAGUGAGCGAAUCCCAAAAAGUGCGUCGUAGUCCGGAUCGGAGUCUGCAACUCGACUCCGUGAAGUCGGAAUCGCUAGUAAUCGUGGAUCAAAAUGCCACGGUGAAUACGUUCCCGGGCCUUGUACACACCGCCCGUCACACCAUGGGAGUGGGCUGCAAAAGAAGUAGGUAGUUUAACCUUUCGGAGAGGACGCUUACCACUUUGUGGUUCAAGACUGGGGUGAA